CAGUAGCCGCGGGAAAACGAAGGGUGCAAGCGUUAAUCGGAAUUACUGGGCGUAAAGCGCACGCAGGCGGUCUGACAAGUCAGAUGUGAAAUCCCCGGGCUUAACCUGGGAACUGCAUUUGAAACUGUCAGGCUGGAGUCUUGUAGAGGGGGGUAGAAUUCCAGGUGUAGCGGUGAAAUGCGUAGAGAUCUGGAGGAAUACCGGUGGCGAAGGCGGCCCCCUGGACAAAGACUGACGCUCAGGUGCGAAAGCGUGGGGAGCAAACAGGAUUAGAUACCCCAGUAGUCCCUGUCUCUUAUAC
rnacentral:rRNA from 1 species